GGCUUCGUAGCUCAGCUGGUAGAGCGCUUACAGCAAUUGAACAUGGUGUUUCUGUCGCUGGUUCGAAUCCAGUCGAAGUCC